GACGAACGCUGGCGGCGUGCCUAAUACAUGCAAGUAGGACGCAGUUGCGAACGGUGUAGUAACGCGUAGGUAACUACCUAUUAGAGGGGGAUAACUAUUGGAAACGAUAGCUAAUACCGCAUACUAGUAGAUGGACCUGCGUUGUAUUAGCUAGUAGGUAGGGUAAUGGCCUACCUAGGCACCGAUACAUAGCCGAGCUGAGAGGGUGGUCGGCCCAACCGGGAACGAGAACAGGGCCAGAAUCCUUAGGGAGGCAGCAGUAGGGAAACAUUGGAAAUGGGGGGAAACCUGGACGCGCAAAGCCCCGGGAGUGAAGAAGGGUUUUGGAGUGUAAAGGUAUGUUGUGAAGGAAGCGGUACUCAAAGAGAAAGGAACGGCUAACUACGUGCCAGCAGCCGCGGUAAUAC
rnacentral:rRNA from 1 species